UACGUAGGGGGCAAGCGUUGUCCGGAAUCAUUGGCGUAAAGAGCGUGUAGCGGCCCGGUAAGUCCGCUGUGAAAGUCCAGGGCUCAACCCUGGGAUGCCGGUGGAUACUGUCGGGCUCGAGUCCGGAAGAGGAGUGUGGAAUUCCUGGUGUAGCGGUGAAAUGCGCAGAUAUCAGGAAGAACACCAACGGCGAAGGAGCUCUGGGACGGUGACUGACGCUGAGACGCGAAAGCGUGGGGAGCGAACAGG
rnacentral:rRNA from 1 species